rnacentral:rRNA from 1 species
GACGAACGCUGGCGGCGUGCUUAACACAUGCAAGUCGAACGGAAAGGCCCUGCUUUUGUGGGGUGCUCGAGUGGCGAACGGGUGAGUAACACGUGAGUAACCUGCCCUUGACUUUGGGAUAACUUCAGGAAACUGGGGCUAAUACCGGAUAGGAGCUCCUGCUGCAUGGUGGGGGUUGGAAAGUUUCGGCGGUUGGGGAUGGACUCGCGGCUUAUCAGCUUGUUGGUGGGGUAGUGGCUUACCAAGGCUUUGACGGGUAGCCGGCCUGAGAGGGUGACCGGCCACCUUGGUCCUGAGAUACGGCCCAGACUCCUACGGGAGGCAGCAGUGGGGAAUAUUGCACAAUGGGCGGAAGCCUGAUGCAGCAACGCCGCGUGCGGGAUGACGGCCUUCGGGUUGUAAACCGCUUUCGCCUGUGACGAAGCGUGAGUGACGGUAAUGGGUAAAGAAGCACCGGCUAACUACGUG